GACGAACGCUGGCGGCGUGCUUAACACAUGCAAGUCGAACGGAAAGGCCCUGCUUUUGUGGGGUGCUCGAGUGGCGAACGGGUGAGUAACACGUGAGUAACCUGCCCUUGACUUUGGGAUAACUUCAGGAAACUGGGGCUAAUACCGGAUAGGAGCUCCUGCUGCAUGGUGGGGGUUGGAAAGUUUCGGCGGUUGGGGAUGGACUCGCGGCUUAUCAGCUUGUUGGUGGGGUAGUGGCUUACCAAGGCUUUGACGGGUAGCCGGCCUGAGAGGGUGACCGGCCACAUUGGGACUGAGAUACGGCCCAGACUCCUACGGGAGGCAGCAGUGGGGAAUAUUGCACAAUGGGCGGAAGCCUGAUGCAGCAACGCCGCGUGCGGGAUGACGGCCUUCGGGUUGUAAACCGCUUUCGCCUGUGAUGAAACGUGAGUGACGGUAAUGGGUAAAGAAGCACCGGCUAACUACGUG
rnacentral:rRNA from 1 species